AGAGCUGUCAUUGGAAUUAGCUGUGUUUGUCCUGAGAAUCCUAUAGUUUUGGCAUAUUUACCAGACGUGGGGAGAUGAGAGGCAUAAUUUGGUUUUACACAUGUGUGGCCACCUGUUUGUGUAGUUCAUCCAAAAAGACCCGUCUGCAGCUACAGAGUUUUCCACUGUUGUUGGUCCCUUGUAGCCACUCCUGCCUGAAUGGAGCACGAGAAGGGCCGGAGGAAGGAAAGAACGAGGGACAUUAUAUCCACAAUGACAAUUUAAUUAGUGAUGUCUGUCAAGCAGUGUGCUCUAUUUGGGACUGUGUCCCCCUACAUACACUGGACAACCUGAAAGAGACCUGUCUUGUAUUGUCAGCAUGUCACCAUUUUCCUCUGGAGAUUUCAGUGUCAGAACAGUAAAUACAAAGAAAAACACGUCUAUAGAAG
rnacentral:lncRNA from 1 species